AUUGAACGCUGGCGGCAGGCCUAACACAUGCAAGUCGGGCGAGCGGCCGACGGGCGAGUAAUGUAUGGGGAUCUGCCUGAUGGAGGGGGUUAACUACUGGAAACGGUAGCUAAUACCGCAUAACAUCAGAUGAAACAAUGUGGGAUUAGCUUGGAGGUGAGGUAACGGCUCCCCUAGGCGACGAUCCAUGGCUGGUCUGAGAGGAUGAUCAGCGACACUGGGACUGAGACACGGCCCAGACUCCUACGUGAGGCAGCAGUGGGGAAUAUUGCACAAUGGGCGCAAGCCUGAUGCAGCCAUGCCGCGUGUAUGAAGAAGGCCUUCGGGUUGUAAAGUACUUUCAGUCGGGAGGCGUUACCGACAGAAGAAGCAUCGGCUAACUCCGUGCCAGCAGCCGCGGUAAUAC
rnacentral:rRNA from 1 species